rnacentral:rRNA from 1 species
UUAUGUUAGUAUAGCCUGCUCAAUGUAAAAUAAAUAGCCGCAGAACCCCCGUGCUAAGGUAGCAUAAUAAUUUGCCUUAUAAUUUAAGGCUUGUAUGAAAGGUAUCACAUAUUGUUUACUUUAUUAAUUUAACUCUUUUAACCUAACCUUUUAGUAAAAAGGCUAAUAUUUUUAAGAAGACGACAAGACCCUGACAAACUUUACAUUCAUGUUUAACUGGGGGGGUUAAAAAACUAUAUCUUUUUAAUUUUCUAAAUAUCAGAAAUAUUUCUAUAUUUAUUCAAGUUACUGCAGGGAUAACAGCAUAAUCUUUUCCUAAAGACCUUAUCUAAGAAAAAGUUUGUGACCUCGAUGUUGAAUUAGAAAACUAUAAAGAGCAAAAUCUUUACAAGUAAGUCUGUUCGACUUUUAAUAUUCUACAUGAUUUGAGUUCAGACCGGUGUAAGCCAGGUCGGUUUCUAUCUCUUUUUAAGAAUUUUUAGUACGAAAGGAUCAAAAUUCUAAUUUUCCAUUCU